rnacentral:rRNA from 1 species
UACGUAGGGUGCGAGCGUUGUCCGGAAUUAUUGGGGCGUAAAGAGCUCGUAGGCGGUUUUGUCACGUCUGCUGUGAAAUCCCGAGGCUCAACCUCGGGUCUGCAGUGGGUACGGGCAGACGUGGAGUGCGGUAGGGGAGAAUGGAAUUCCUGGUGUAGCGGUGAAAAUGCGCAGAUAUCAGGAGGAACACCGAUGGCGAAGGCAGGUCUCUGGGC